rnacentral:rRNA from 1 species
UACGUAGGGGGCGAGCGUUGUCCGGAAUUACUGGGCGUAAAGGGCGCGUAGGCGGCCCCUUAAGUCCGCGGUGAAAGCCCGAGGCUCAACCUCGGAGGGUCCGCGGAGACUGGGGGGCUGGGGUGUCGGAGAGGAGCGUGGAAUCCCUGGUGUAGCGGUGGAAUGCGUAGAGAUCAGGGGGAACACCGAUGGCGAAGGCAGCGCUCUGGCCGACGACCGACGCUGAGGCGCGAAAGCUGGGGGAGCGAACGGG